CUUUUGAUUAUUUUAGCGGCGGACGGGUGAGUAACGUGUGGGUAACCUGCCUUUUACUGGGGAAUAAUCGUUGGAAACGACGACUAAUACCGCAUACGGUUCUUGGAAGGCAUCUUCUAAGAAAGAAAGGAUUUAUUCGGUAAAAGAUGGGCCCGCAUCUGAUUAGCUAGUUGGUGAGAUAAUAGCCCACCAAGGCAACGAUCAGUAGCCGACCUGAGAGGGUGACCGGCCACAUUGGGACUGAGACACGGCCCAAACUCCUACGGAAGGCAGCAG
rnacentral:rRNA from 1 species